GUCGACUACUUGUUUCUAUUUCUCUCUGGAGAAAGAAACAGAAGCUUCGAGUACCCCUAUCAAAGUCGCUACACACGGUGGAAAUCUCUUGGUCUCUCUCCCGACGCGAGAGGCGGUUUCCAGGCGUGCUGCCUCCGCUGGUCUCCCUCGCCUCCGGUAAGCCGUCGGGCUCUGGGAGGUGUGCGGGACAGUGUACGACCGCGACGCGGUUGUAGAUAAUGUUGUUUUAGGAUUUUAUUCUGGCACUGGCGGGCAGGCAGGGGCGAUGUCAACGCUGUGGGAUAAGGUUCCCCCUGGCUCCUUUCCUGUCUCGGCGGUGCUCCCUCCGCCGGUGGCACUGUGGGGUUAGGGAGGUUGGUCUCUCUCUUAUCCGGCGAGGUUUGGUCGGUGAUGGGGGUGCACAACAGUACAGAAGUUGGGAUUUGUGGAGAGGGAUUCCCAGAUCCGGUCGCCGCGGACGGCCGACAGCUGCGCACUGUUGCAGGCGAAGUGGUUUGAGUUGCGGCUCCACUCCGUCGUAGGCUGCCGCUGGUCAAGGGAUCACUGAGUCUACCCCAGGCCGAUGCACCGGAACCCUCCCUGGUUCCGUCUUUUGGGGCGGGACUUAUAUGCGGCUCACAAAGCCAUGGAUCGGCGAUGCUGCUCCUCAUGCCCGUUGUCUUGUGGAUGACGACUAGCACCGGCGAGUGCAGAGAUCAGCGUGCCUAGGUGAAUAAGGAAGAUGAACUGGGCUGUAAGUUACUUUGUUUUCAAUGUCGGCGUUAUUCCCUUUAGUGUUGUCUCUGCCUCUCUGGUUCUCAACCUCCAACGACAUGCCCUUUUUUUGUGCUGGCCAUGGAGGCUAGCAGCGGCAGGACUGCCAUGACUAGGCCGCGCAAUAUUUCUGACAGUGUUGAGCUACUCGUUCCCGACAGCUCCGGUGCCAAGCUGCCAAUAGAAGCCGAGCAGGUAUGUGUGUGAUGGAUCUUUUAAUUUUUAGUUUGCUUCCUGUUCGAUUAGGUGCAUAUUUCGCAAGAUAAUGUUGUUCGGAAGGGGUCGCUGACGAGCAAGAGAAAUAAGUACUGAAGCAUGCUUCACUGAUGACUACUGAUCUAGAAUUGUCUGUUGCUGAAAUAAGUCCUGGAGCGGUGGAGCGGGCUGAACAAUUUCCUGUUGAUUUUACUGAAUGGAUUGUCCCUGUAAUUUGACCAAACGUCAUGUCACCGUGCCACUGAAGUUUUUGCACGGAAUUCUUGUCUUUUUGGGUGGUGCCAAGCUGUCUUUUUGUUGAACAAUGCCACAAUUGCAUAGUUGUAAGUUAUUUAGGAUUGUCUCUAUUGCAUACGACCUGGAGUUACAAGAGGUCCAGUACUAAUUUUGUGUAUGUAUGUACAUGUGCACUCACCCAUUUUCUAUACACAUGAUUCCAAAGCAUUUUUACUGUA